rnacentral:sRNA from 1 species
CCACUGUGUGUUGAUCAUAAAGGCUCAAGAAAGAUCACUGAGUUCAAAGCAGUGAUGUUUGGGUAAAGCAGUGAUGUUUGGGUAAGGCAGUGGAUGAGGUUAAGGGUUCCUGGGGUGGUUUAUUUGGAUUUGAACGUCUAUGACACUCUUCCGAGCUGACACAGUGAAGAACAUGGAAGGAGAACUCACCCAGUCUGCCAGGGUCACAGAUGAUCAUACUCAAGAUCUUCCUGGGGAGUCAACGGCAAAUUUCACUGGG